rnacentral:rRNA from 1 species
ACACGUGGGAAACCUGCCCAGAAGCGGGGGAUAACACCUGGAAACAGAUGCUAAUACCGCAUAACAACUUGGACCGCAUGGUCCGAGUUUGAAAGAUGGCUUCGGCUAUCACUUUUGGAUGGUCCCGCGGCGUAUUAGCUAGAUGGUGAGGUAACGGCUCACCAUGGCAAUGAUACGUAGCCGACCUGAGAGGGUAAUCGGCCACAUUGGGACUGAGACACGGCCCAAACUCCUACGGGAGGCAGCAGUAGGGAAUCUUCCACAAUGGACGAAAGUCUGAUGGAGCAACGCCACGUGAGUGAAGAAGGGUUUCGGCUCGUAAAACUCUGUUGUUAAAGAAGAACAUAUCUGAGAGUAACUGUUCAGGUAUUGACGGUAUUUAACCAGAAAGCCACGGCUAACUACGUGCCAGCAGCCGCGGUAAUACGUAGGUGGCAAGCGUUGUCCGGAUUUAUUGGGCGUAAAGCGAGCGCAGGCGGUUUUUUAAGUCUGAUGUGAAAGCCUUCGGCUCAACCGAAGAAGUGCAUCGGAAACUGGGAAACUUGAGUGCAGAAGAGGACAGUGGAACUCCAUGUGUAGCGGUGAAAUGCGUAGAUAUAUGGAAGAACACCAGUGGCGAAGGCGGCUGUCUGGUCUGUAACUGACGCUGAGGCUCGAAAGUAUGGGUAGCAAACAGGAUUAGAUACCCUGGUAGUCCAUACCGUAAACGAUGAAUGCUAAGUGUUGGAGGGUUUCCGCCCUUCAGUGCUGCAGCUAACGCAUUAAGCAUUCCGCCUGGGGAGUACGGCCGCAAGGCUGAAACUCAAAGGAAUUGACGGGGGCCCGCACAAGCGGUGGAGCAUGUGGUUUAAUUCGAAGCUACGCGAAGAACCUUACCAGGUCUUGACAUACUAUGCAAAUCUAAGAGAUUAGACGUUCCCUUCGGGGACUUGGAUACAGGUGGUGCAUGGUUGUCCUCAGCUCCUGUCCUGAAAUGUUGGGUUAAGUCCCGCAACGAGCG